UCGAGAAUCUUCGGCAAUGGGGGCAACCCUGACCGAGCGACGCCGCGUGGUGGUAGAAGGCCUUCGGGUUGUAAACACCUGUUGGGGGGGAACAAUUUUGAGUGAACCCCUGAGGAAGCACGGGCUAAGUUCGUGCCAGCAGCCGCGGUAAGACGAACCGUGCAAACGUUACUCGGAAUCACUGGGCUUAAAGCGUACGUAGGCGGCAACAUAAGUCAGAGGUGAAAUCCUAUCGGCUCAACCGUGGAACUGCCUCUGAUACUGUGCUGCUUGAGGGAGAACGGGGCAUUCGGAACUUCCGGUGGAGCGGUGAAAUGUGUUGAUAUCGGAAGGAACGCCGGUGGCGAAAGCGGAAUGCUGGGUCUCAACUGACGCUGAGGUACGAAAGCUAGGGUAGCGA
rnacentral:rRNA from 1 species